rnacentral:rRNA from 1 species
UACGUAGGCAGCAAGCGUUGUUCGGAGUUACUGGGCGUAGAGGGUGUGUAGGCGGUUCUUUAAGUUUGGUGUGAAAUCUCCCGGCUCAACCGGGAGGGUGCGCCGAAUACUGAGGGACUAGAGUGCGGGAGAGGAAAGUGGAAUUCCUGGUGUAGCGGUGAAAUGCGUAGAUAUCAGGAGGAACACCGGUGGUGUAGACGGCUUUCUGGACCGUAACUGACGCUGAUACACGAAAGCGUGGGUAGCAAACAGG